rnacentral:rRNA from 1 species
CACGUAGGGCGCAAGCGUUGUCCGGAAUUAUUGGGCGUAAAGAGCUCGUAGGCGGUCUGUUGCGUCCGCUGUGAAAACCCGGGGCUUAACCCUGGGCUGGCAGUGGAUACGGACAGACUAGAGGUAGGUAGGGGAGAAUGGAAUUCCCGGUGUAGCGGUGAAAUGCGCAGAUAUCGGUAGGAACACCAGUGGCGAAGGCGGUCUCCUGGGGCAUUCUUGACGCUGAGGCGCGAAAGCUGGGGGAGCGAACGGG